rnacentral:rRNA from 1 species
UACGUAGGGUGCAAGCGUUGUCCGGAAUUAUUGGGCGUAAAGCGCGUGUAGGCGGUCCGGUAAGUCCGCUGUGAAAGUCGGGGGCUCAACCCUCGAAUGCCGGUGGAUACUGUCGGGCUAGAGUGCGGAAGAGGCGAGUGGAAUUCCUGGUGUAGCGGUGAAAUGCGCAGAUAUCAGGAGGAACACCAAUUGCGAAGGCAGCUCGCUGGGACGUAACUGACGCUGGAGACGCGAAAGCGUGGGGAGCAAACAGG